CGCAGACACAGUCUCUCCAGGAGUCCAUCCCACCACACCAAAUUAGCCCUGAGCCUAAACUGCAACAGCCUUCAUCACAACCUCUCCUACCUUCAGAAGAACGUGUCUCAUCUCCGUGCCUGGUAUCCACGGAACCUAAGCCUCCAUGCAGAAAAGCAGUGCCUCUGACCUAUGCGGCCCCACGCUCCUGCUCCUGUGUGGUCUGCCCUGGCAGCUCCGCUUGCUGGCGUCGUCUGGGGCUUUGCCAUAGCCGAAUCUUUGAUGUCCUUCUGCCUCGGGACUGGUCAUCCAUGCCAGGGAGAGGAUUCCCAAACCUUCUCACCUUCUACAGAAAACCUUCAAGGAAAUACUGCACUUCCCGUAACUCUCGUGCUUCAAGCCCUCGGAACUGUUGCUGUGGCUCUGGGGGCCCUGGGAGUUGCCUACUUCAUGGCUGAAUCCUUGUGAACUGGACCCCAGGCCCACGGUCCGGCAGGUAGGAGGGCCCACCUGUCCCUUUUCUCUAGCUAGAGAAUAUUUCAAGGUGGACGAGGCCUUCAGCCUGUCGGGGAAAGUUCAUGAUCAUUCCUGCGUCAAGAUGGGCUGUCAGGACUCGGUCCAGCUUCUCUGGAGACCUUUUAUUAGAACCAUCAGGACAAAGACCCUACAGACAACCCUGUCUCCGGACCUGCUAUGGCUUCCCUAGUCCUAGAUGGGACGAAGUAGGGGAGAGGAAAGGUGGAGAUUAGCCAUCGUCUUGGACAAGCCCCUCUACUGUAUCCCCCAACUCGAGGGCCUAUUUCCCCUCACACCAACGUUCUCCAGCCUGUACCAAGGCCAUGCUGCGCACGCUUCUUUGGAAUGUGUGUAAUCGCUCCCACUGUUCAUUUAUAUUACAUCAUCUCUGCAUAUG
rnacentral:lncRNA from 1 species